AAACCAACAUGUAUUUACAAUAAUUAAUAAAGAAACAGCUAGAAACCAGGGGUCAUCUUAUUAGCGAUAUUAUCUAACCUAUUAAGAUCGUCAGCAAUGUCUAACAUACACGAAUCCAGUUUAAUUGAUUGAACUAUUAUUUUAAGGGGACAGCUGAUUGAUUUUGGUUGAUGAAGUGAGCUGUUGAUUUUCAUAAAUGCUGGAUAAAUAUUGAGCG